UACGUAGGGUGCGAGCGUUAAUCGGAAUUACUGGGCGUAAAGCGUGCGCAGGCGGUUAUAUAAGACAGUUGUGAAAUCCCCGGGCUCAACCUGGGAACUGCAUCUGUGACUGUAUAGCUAGAGUACGGUAGAGGGGGAUGGAAUUCCGCGUGUAGCAGUGAAAUGCGUAGAUAUGCGGAGGAACACCGAUGGCGAAGGCAAUCCCCUGGACCUGUACUGACGCUCAUGCACGAAAGCGUGGGGAGCAAACAGGG
rnacentral:rRNA from 1 species